rnacentral:rRNA from 1 species
AUUGAACGCUGGCGGCAGGCCUAACACAUGCAAGUCGAGCGAACGGCGGACAGGUGAGUAAUGUAUGGGGACUGCCCGAUAGAGGGGGAUAACUACUGGAAACGGUAGCUAAUACCGCAUACUAUCGGAUAACCCAUAUGGGAUUAGCUAGUAGGUGAGGUAAUGGCUCACCUAGGCGACGAUCCCUAGCUGGUCUGAGAGGAUGAUCAGCCACACUGGGACGGAGACACGGCCCAGACUCCUACGGAGGCAGCAGUGGGGAAUAUUGCACAAUGGGCGAAAGCCUGAUGCAGCCAUGCCGCGUGUAUGAAGAAGGCCCUAGGGUUGUAAAGUACUGUCAGUCGGGAGGCGUUAACGACAGAAGAAGCACCGGCUAACUACGUGCCAGCCGCCGCGGUAAUUC